AUGGUGAAGGUAGGAGUGGGUGGAUUUGGCCAUAUUGAGCACAUAUAAAUCUGCCUUCAACUCGGAUGAAGUGAAUACUGACACCAAUGAUAACUUCAUUGACCUUAGCUACAUAGUCUUCCUUCAUGUUCCAGUAUUACUCUACCCCACAGCAAGUUACAUGGUAUAGUCAGAUCUCAGAAAAGGAAACUAGUCAUCAAUGGGAGGGCAUCUCUUACCUUCUAGGAGUGAGGUCCUGCCAACAUCAAGUGGGGUGACGUUGGUGCCAGGUGUGUUGUGGAUUCUACAGAUGUCUUCAUCAGGAUGGAAAAGGCUGGGUCCAUUUGAAGGGUGGAGCCAAAAGGGCCAUUACCUUUGGCACUUCUGUUGAUGCCCCCAUGUCUGUGAUGGGUUUGCACCAUAAGACAACUCAAAUAUGACAGCUCACUCAUGGUUAUCAGCAGCACCUAUUCUUCUGUCAUUUGUCUAGCUCUGACCUGGCCAACACCAUCCCAUGACAACUUUGGUGUAAUUGAUGGGCUCUUGACUAUGGUUCACGUCAUCACUACAACCAGGAAGAUAGUAAAAUGCCCCUCUGGGAAAUUGUGGCAUGAUAGAUAUGGGGCUGGCCAAAGCAUCACCCCUGUAUCUGUCAAAGCUGUGAGCAGUGUUAUUGAAGAGCUAAAGGGAAGGUCAUUGCAUUCUCCUGCAUUUUUACCCUCAGUGUGUCUGCCAUGGAUCUGACAUUCCAACUAAAAAUGCCCCAAAAGGCAUCCUGAGCUUUACUGAAAACCAGACUGUCUCCUGAAAUUUUUAACAGCAACACCCAUUUUUCUGCCUUUAACUUUG
rnacentral:lncRNA from 1 species